rnacentral:rRNA from 1 species
UGGGCAACCUGCCCCUCUCUCUGGGAUAACCCCCGGGAAACCGGAGCCAAUACCGGAUACUCCGGCUGGAUCGCAUGGUCCGGCCGGGAAAGGUCCGCCGGAGAGGGAUGGGCCCGCGGCCUAUCAGCUUGUUGGUGGGGUCAUGGCUCACCAAGGCGACGACGGGUAGCUGGUCUGAGAGGGCGACCGGCCACACUGGGACUGAGACACGGCCCAGACUCCUACGGGAGGCA